rnacentral:rRNA from 1 species
GUCCACGCCGUAAACUAUGAUUACUCGAUAUUGGCGAUACACAGUCAGUGUCUAAGCGAAAGUGAUAAGUAAUCCACCUGGGGAGUACGUUGGCAACAAUGAAACUCAAAGGAAUUGACGGGGGCCCGCACAAGCGGUGGAGCAUGUGGUUUAAUUCGAUGAUACGCGAGGAACCUUACCAGGGCUUAAAUGUAAGUUGACAGAUCUGGAAACAGAUUUUUCUUCGGACAAUUUACAAGGUGC